UGGUUAGAACGUUGGACUAGGAACCAGCAGGUAGCCUAGUGGUUAGAGUGUUGGACUAGUAACCAGCAGGUAGCCUAGUGGUUAGAGCGUUGGACUAGUAACCAGCAGGUAGCCUAGUGGUUAGAGCGUUGGACUAGUAACCAGCAGGUAGCCUAGUGGUUAGAGCGUUGGACUAGUAACCAGCAGGUAGCCUAGUGGUUAGAGCGUUGGACUAGUAACCAGCAGGUAGCCUAGUGGUUAGAGCGUUGGACUAGUAACCAGCAGGUAGCCUAGUGGUUAGAGCGUUGGACUAGUAACCAGCAGGUAGCCUAGUGGUUAGAGCGUUGGACUAGUAACCAGCAGGUAGCCUAGUGGUUAGAGCGUUGGACUAGUAACCAGCAGGUAGCCUAGUGGUUAGAGCGUUGGACUAGUAACCAGCAGGUAGCCUAGUGGUUAGAGCGUUGGACUAGUAACCAGCAGGUAGCUUAGUGGUUAGUGUUGGACUAGUAACCAGCAGGUAGCCUAGUGGUUAGAGCGUUGGACUAGUAACCAGCAGGUAGCCUAGUGGUUAGAGCGUUGGACUAGUAACCAGCAGGUAGCUUAGUGGUUAGUGUUGGACUAGUAACCAGCAGGUAGCCUAGUGGUUAGAGCGUUGGACUAGUAACCAGCAGGUAGCUUAGUGGUUAGUGUUGGACUAGUAACCAGCAGGUAGCCUAGUGGUUAGAGCGUUGGACUAGUAACCAGCAGGUAGCUUAGUGGUUAGUGUUGGACUAGUAACCAGCAGGUAGCCUAGUGGUUAGAGCGUUGGACUAGUAACCAGCAGGUAGCCUAGUGGUUAGAGCGUUGGACUAGUAACCAGCAGGUAGCUUAGUGGUUAGUGUUGGACUAGUAACCAGCAGGUAGCCUAGUGGUUAGAGCAUUGGACUAGUAACCAGCAGGUAGCCUAGUGGUUAGUGUUGGACUAGUAACCAGCAGGUAGCCUAGUGGUUAGAGCGUUGGACUAGUAACCAGCAGGUAGCCUAGUGGUUAGAGUGUUGGACUAGUAACCAGCAGGUAGCCUAGGGGUUAGAGUGUUGGACUAGUAACCAGCAGGUAGCCUAGUGGUUAGAGCGUUGGACUAGUAACCAGCAGGUAGCCUAGUGGUUAGAGCGUUGGACUAGUAACCAGCAGGUAGCCUAGUGGUUAGAGCGUUGGACUAGUAACCAGCAGGUAGCCUAGUGGUUAGAGUGUUGGACUAGUAACCAGCAGGUAGCCUAGUGGUUAGAGCGUUGGACUAGUAACCAGCAGGUAGCCUAGUGGUUAGAGCGUUGGACUAGUAACCAGCAGGUAGCCUAGUGGUUAGAGCGUUGGACUAGUAACCAGCAGGUAGCCUAGUGGUUAGAGCGUUGGACUAGUAACCAGCAGGUAGCCUAGUGGUUAGAGCGUUGGACUAGUAACCAGCAGGUAGCCUAGUGGUUAGAGCGUUGGACUAGUAACCAGCAGGUAGCCUAGUGGUUAGAGCGUUGGACUAGUAACCAGCAGGUAGCCUAGUGGUUAGAGAGUUGGACUAGUAACCAGCAGGUAGCCUAGUGGUUAGAGUGUUGGACUAGUAACCAGCAGGUAGCCUAGUGGUUAGAGCGUUGGACUAGUAACCAGCAGGUAGCCUAGUGGUUAGAGCGUUGGACUAGUAACCAGCAGGUAGCCUAGUGGUUAGAGUGUUGGACUAGUAACCAGCAGGUAGCCUAGUGGUUAGAGCGUUGGACUAGUAACCAGCAGGUAGCCUAGUGGUUAGAGCGUUGGAAUAGUAACCAGCAGGUAGCCUAGUGGUUAGAGCGUUGGACUAGUAACCAGCAGGUAGCCUAGUGGUUAGAGCGUUGGACUAGUAACCAGCAGGUAGCCUAGUGGUUAGAGCGUUGGACUAGUAACCAGCAGGUAGCCUAGUGGUUAGAGCGUUGGACUAGUAACCAGCAGGUAGCCUAGUGGUUAGAGCGUUGGACUAGUAACCAGCAGGUAGCCUAGUGGUUAGAGCGUUGGACUAGUAACCAGCAGGUAGCCUAGUGGUUAGAGCGUUGGACUAGUAACCAGCAGGUAGCCUAGUGGUUAGAGCGUUGGACUAGUAACCAGCAGGUAGCCUAGUGGUUAGAGCGUUGGACUAGUAACCAGCAGGUAGCCUAGUGGUUAGAGCGUUGGACUAGUAACCAGCAGGUAGCCUAGUGGUUAGAGCGUUGGACUAGUAACCAGCAGGUAGCCUAGUGGUUAGAGCGUUGGACUAGUAACCAGCAGGUAGCCUAGUGGUUAGAGCGUUGGACUAGUAACCAGCAGGUAGCCUAGUGGUUAGAGCGUUGGACUAGUAACCAGCAGGUAGCCUAGUGGUUAGAGUGUUGGACUAGUAACCAGCAGGUAGCCUAGUGG